rnacentral:rRNA from 1 species
UUCGACUGUUUUNACAAAAACAUAGCUUCUUGAAAUUUUUAGAAGUGACGUCUGCCCGGUGAAUUUAUUUAAACGGCCGCAUAUGUGCUAAGGUAGCAUAAUAAUUUGUCUUUUAAUUGGGGACUAGUAUGAAAGGCAAAACGAAGCCCAGCUGUCUCUUUUAAUUUGUAUUGAAAUUGAUUUAGAAGUGAAAAAUCUUCCAUAGUAUUAUAGGACGAGAAGACCCUGUAGAGUUUUAGUAUACCUAUUCUAAAAUGUUUUUUUAGAAAAUACUUUGAUUGGGGCAAUAGAGGAACAAAAAAAAUCCUCCAAAAAUUAAUAAAUUUUAGAAAUGAUCCUCAAAGAGAAAAAAGAAAAACUACCUCAGGGAUAACAGCGUAAUCCUCCCGAAGAGAUCUAAUCGAGGGGAGGGUUUGCGACCUCGAUGUUGGACUAAGGUUACCUUAAGGUGUAGCAGUCUUAAAGGUGGGCCUGUUCGGCCCAUUAUCCUUACAUGAUUUNGGUUUCAUUCCGUAA